CCAAUAGCGUAUAUUAAAGUUGUUGCAGUUAAAAAGCUCUUAGUUGAAUUUCGGGAUCAAGGAAUCGGUCAUGCCUCGGUAUGUACUGGUUUUAUUGGUUCUCACCUUCUAAAGAACCAUAAUGUCAUUCAUUUGAUGUUAUGGGGAAUUAGGACUGUUACCUUGAAAAAAUUAGAGUGUUUAAAGCAGGCUUACGCUUGAAUACAUUAGCAUGGAAUAAUGAAAUAGGACAUCAGAUUCUAUUUUGUUGGUUUCUAGGAUCGAUGUAAUGAUUAAUAGGGAUAGUUGGGGGCAUUAGUAUUCAAUUGUCAGAGGUGAAAUUCUUGGAUUUAUUGAAGACUAACUACUGCGAAAGCAUUUGCCAAGGAUGUUUUCAUUAAUCAAGAACGAAAGUUAGGGGAUCGAAGACGAUCAGAUACCGUCGUAGUCUUAACCAUAAACUAUGCCGACUAGGGAUCGGAUGAUGUUAAUUUUAUAAUGACUCAUUCGGCACCUUACG
rnacentral:rRNA from 1 species